GUGUCAGCAGCCGCGGUAAGACAGAGGAUGCAAACGUUGCUCGGAAUUACUGGGCGUAAAGCGCGCGCAGGUGGUUCGGUAAGUCGGGUGUGAAAUCCCGGGGCUCAACCUCGGACGUGCACUCGAUACUGCUGAACUUGAGUACUGGAGAGGAGAGCGGAAUUCCCGGUGUAGAGGUGAAAUUCGUAGAUAUCGGGAGGAACACCAGUGGCGAAGGCGGCUCUCUGGACAGAUACUGACACUGAGGCGCGAAAGCGUGGGAAGCAAACAGGAUUAGAUACCCGCGUAGUCC
rnacentral:rRNA from 1 species